GCAGUCGUGGCCGUGUGGUUAAGGCAAUGGACUAGAAAUCCAUUGGGGUCUCCCCGCACAGGUUCGAAUCCUGUCGACUGCG
rnacentral:tRNA from 2 species